GACGGAGGAUGCAAGCGUUAUCCGGAAUGAUUGGGCGUAAAGCGUCCGCAGGUGGCAGUUCAAGUCUGCUGUCAAAGACCGGGGCUUAACUUCGGAAAGGCAGUGGAAACUGAACAGCUAGAGUAUGGUAGGGGCAGAGGGAAUUCCUGGUGUAGCGGUGAAAAUGCGUAGAUAUCGGGAGGAACACCAGUGGCGAAGGCGACUACCUGGCCCCAUUCUUGACGCUGAGGCGCGAAAGCUAGGGGAGCGAACGGGAGUUAGAUGAUCCCGAGUACGU
rnacentral:rRNA from 1 species